GAUGGUAUCCAUCAUGGAAGGGCCACAGGCAAAUGGACUGACGUGACUAUCGGUUCGUACUGGACUACAAUGCAGGGUUGCUUUCCUACUACACCUCCAAGGACAAAAUGAUGAGAGGCUCUCGCAGAGGAUGUAUUAGACUCAGAGAAGUUGUGAUUGGCACAGACAAUGCAAAUGACAGCAGUUUCACAGUAACUUUUGAUCAGAAAACCUUCCAUUUCCAGGUUUGUGAUGUUGAUGAGCAAGAGAAGUGGAUCCGUGCCUUAGAAGAAACAAUUUUUCAACAUACUCUCCUGCUUCAAGGUUUGGAUUCAGGAUUUGUUCCUAGUGUUCAAGACUUUGAUAAGAAACGUAUAGAAGCUGAUGCUUACCUAUAAAUCUUGACAGGACAAUUAAAACUUUUUGAUGACAGACCAAAACUGCAAAGAAGAUGAACAGAGAAAGAAAAUUGAAACUCUCAGAGAAACAACAAAUAGCAUGAUAGAGACAAACACUACAUUGUGUUGCUUUAAAUUGCUAAAGACCAGAGUAAUGCGGAGAAACUCACAGAUGGAAUUAUACAUAUUAAUAAUCCUGUAGCUGCAAUAUAUCAAACUAGUCCUUUGAAACUUGUGAUCAGCACAAUGCCUUCCCAGACUGUCUUACCUUCAGAACUGUCUCACUUGUGUAAGUCAGAGUAGCAUCCAUCUUCAUUACCAGUUGGACUUGUAUUGGCUACUUUGGGAUAUCAUCAGACUCCAACUUCAAAUAAUAAUAAUACAAGCAGUGGCCAUUCACCACCGAGUAACAGUCUAACUUCUCCACACCAUGUCAACUUGACUCCAAAUACAGUACCAGAGUUCUCUUAUUUUAGCAGUGAAAAUGAAUUCAAUGACGCUGAUGAAUUCUAUCAAAAUGGCUUCUCCCCAAAGCACUUAAUAGUUUCAUUUGGAUCUGCCUCAGUCUUGACACACAGCAGCUAGGGAAAUAAUCUAAAGGAGCUAGGGAAAUAAUCUAAAACUGCCAGAUACUACAGAAUCUCUGAAUUCUUCCAUGUCCAAUGGAACAAAUGAUGCUGACCUUUUUUUUGACUUACAUGAUGAUAGAGAUGAUGACAGAGAGGUAGAGUCGAUAGAGGAGAGCAAGAGGAUUAUCAUGCACCUCCUGUCGCAGGUUAGGCUUGGGAUAGAUCUCACUAAGGUAGUUCUUACAACAUUUAUGCUUGAAAGAAGAUCUCUUCUACAUAUAUGCAGACUUUUUUGCACAACCAGACCUGUUUGUGAGCAUCAGAGACGAAAAUGAUCCCAGAGAUCGAAUGGUUCAUGCUGUGAAAUGGUACCUCUCAGCCUCUCAUGCGGGAAGAAAAGGAUCAGCUGCCAAAAAGCCAUACAACCCCAUUUUGGGUGAAAUUUUUCCAUUGUCGUUGGACAUUACUAAGUGAUACUGAAGAGAGCACAGAGGACCAGUUCCCUGGGUUUCCAAAAAUAGUGUAACAUUAGUGGCUGAGCAGAUUUUCCAUCAUCCAUCCAUUUCAGCCUUUUAUGCUGUGAGUUAUAACAAGAAGAUACAAUUCAAUGCUCAUAUCUGGACCAAAUCAAAAUUUCUUGGGAUGUCAAUGGAGUGCACAACAUAGGGCAGGGCUAUGUGUCAUGUCCAGACUAUGAUGAAUAUUACAUUCUCACAUUCCUCAGUAAUUAUGGAAGGUGUAGCCUCACAGUGACCUGGGUGGAAUUAGGAGGAGAAUGCAAUAUUAAUUGUUUCAAAAUGGGCUAUAGUGCAAAUAUCAUCUUCCACACCAAACCUUUCUAUGGGGACAAGAAGCAAUGAAUUACUACUGAGAUUUUUUUCUCCAAAUAACAAGUAUUUUUGCUCAACUGAAGGGUAAUAGAAUGGUGUAAUGUGUGCAAAAUAUGUAGCAGGGAAAAUACAGUCUUCGUAGAUACCAAGAAGUUGCUUAUAAUUUUUAAAAAGUGAGGAAGUUGGAAGAUCAGAAUGAGUAUGAAUCCUGCAGCCUUUGGAAGGAUUACAUUUUCAACUUAAAAAUCAGAAACAAUAGCAAGGCAAGGCUUGAAGAAAAGCAAAGAAUAGAAGCCCAAGAAAGGAAGGAGAAGGAAAUUGAAUGUGAGACAAGGUUAUUUCAUGAAAAUGGAGAACGUCGGAUUUAUGAUGAACUUACUGAAACAUCUUGGUGCUGCCAAGCAUUAG